rnacentral:rRNA from 1 species
GACGAACGCUGGCGGCGUGCUUAACACAUGCAAGUCGAACGGUGAAGCUCCAGCUUGCUGGAGUGGAUCAGUGGCGAACGGGUGAGUAACACGUGAGCAACCUGCCCCUGACUCUGGAAUAAGCGCUGGAAACGGCGUCUAAUACUGGAUACGAGAAGGGUCCGCAUGGGCACUUUCUGGAAAGUUUUUCGGUUGGGGAUGGGCUCGCGGCCUAUCAGCUUGUUGGUGAGGUAAUGGCUCACCAAGGCGACGACGGGUAGCCGGCCUGAGAGGGCGACCGGCCACAGGGGGACGGAGCAAGGGCCCAGACCCGAGGGGGAGGCAGCGGGGGGAAUUAUUGCAGAGGGGCGGAGGGCCUGGGGAGGCGCGCCGGGGGGGGGGAUGACGGCCUUGGGGUUGAAAACCUUUUUCGGAGGGAAAGAGGAAAAGGUGACGGUACCUGAAAAAAAAGCCCCGGCUAACUACGUG